AUGAACGCUGGCGGCGUGCCUAAUACCUGCAAGUCGAGCGAACAGACGAGGAGCUUGCUCCUCUGACGUUAGCGGCGGACGGGUGAGUAACACGUGGAUAACCUACCUAUAAGACUGGGAUAACUUCGGGAAACCGGAGCUAAUACCGGAUAAUAUAUUGAACCGCAUGGUUCAAUAGUGAAAGACGGUUUUGCUGUCACUUAUAGAUGGAUCCGCGCCGCAUUAGCUAGUUGGUAAGGUAACGGCUUACCAAGGCAACGAUGCGUAGCCGACCUGAGAGGGUGAUCGGCCACACUGGAACUGAGACACGGUCCAGACUCCUACGGGAGGCAGCAGUAGGGAAUCUUCCGCAAAGGGCGAAAGCUUGACGGAGCAACGCCGCGUGAGUGAUGAAGGUCUUCGGAUCGUAAAACUCUGUUAUUAGGGAAGAACAAAUGUGUAAGUAACUAUGCACGUCUUGACGGUACCUAAUCAGAAAGCCACGGCUAACUACGUG
rnacentral:rRNA from 1 species